UGACUUUUCCCUUCCCAAUGCUACUGCUUAACAUUUACUACUCUAAAAAAAAACUAUCUUGAAACCCAUUUGUUUUAUUUUUUCUUAAAAAAAACCUCAUGCUCUCCAAUCUCUCAUUCUCCCCUUGCUUCCUCGCCGAAAUAUUAGCACCCUGGCCCUCCGCUCGCGCCCAGCAAAGCCUCUGACAGUGACUCCGGUAUAACGGACGUGGGUUGUGCUUGGUGGUGGAGAACGUGGGUAAUAGAAGCAUGGAGGCAGUUGGAGGCUAAGGUCUUGGCUGAAGACGUUUUGGGGUUUGUGGGUUAGGGUUAAGUAUUUGGGCUUCAAAAUUGGAUCUAUUUUCAUUUUGUUUUUAAUUUAAUUUUGGUUCUAUUUUUGAUCUUUGGGGGUUUAUUUUUGGUUUUAAAAAAAUUUGGGCUUUAAAGGUAAA